AGUGAACGCUGGCGGUAGGCCUAACACAUGCAAGUCGAACGGCAGCACAGUAAGAGCUUGCUCUUACGGGUGGCGAGUGGCGGACGGGUGAGGAAUACAUCGGAAUCUACUUUUUCGUGGGGGAUAACGUAGGGACACUUACGCUAAUACCGCAUACGACCUACGGGUGAAAGCAGGGGAUCUUCGGACCUUGCGCGAUUGAAUGAGCCGAUGUCGGAUUAGCUAGUUGGCGGGGUAAAGGCCCACCAAGGCGACGAUCCGUAGCUGGUCUGAGAGGAUGAUCAGCCACACUGGAACUGAGACACGGUCCAGACUCCUACGGGAGGCAGCAGUGGGGAAUAUUGGACAAUGGGCGCAAGCCUGAUGCAGCCAUACCGCGUGGGUGAAGAAGGCCUUCGGGUUGUAAAGCCCUUUUGUUGGGAAAGAAAAGCAGCAGGUUAAUACCCCGCUGUUCUGACGGUACCCAAAGAAUAAGCACCGGCUAACUUCGUG
rnacentral:rRNA from 1 species